UGGGCAACCUGCCCUCAGCCCUGGGAUAACUCCAAGAAAUUGGGGCUAAUACCGGAUAUGACCGCUGACCGCAUGGUCUGGUGGUGGAAAGAUUUAUCGGCUGGGGAUGGGCCCGCGGCCUAUCAGCUUGUUGGUGGGGUAGUGGCCUACCAAGGCGACGACGGGUAGCCGGCCUGAGAGGGUGACCGGCCACACUGGGACUGAGACACGGCCCAGACUCCUACGGGAG
rnacentral:rRNA from 1 species